UAGUGGGAACUCUGUUCGGUACUGUGAAUCUCUCCAACUUCAACAACAUACAGAUCCUCUGUCUUUACUCCAGGUGACAACAGAGGAAGUGAGGGAAAACAGUGUACCAGAAAUCAUCAGGAGCAUCUCCUUGUGCUACUCCCCAGUCUGCCAGUCUGGUCUGCUUUUUAUCACCACCAAUUGUCACACUGUACAUGAGGAGUAUGGCAACACUGGUCCAAGAGUGCUUUUCUUAUUCCCAUGAAGAUCUGUCUCACCCAGUAGUCCUGGCUGUGGGUGUGGGGACCAUGUUACAGAAGAGUCAGUCUCUCUGAAAUGCAAGAGAGAGGACUUAGGAACCCGAGGGAGUCACUUUCUGCUCCAUGAGCAUCUUGCAAGGAAGCUGCACGUGAGCAGAGCAGCGCUGCAUUGAAGCCAUGUGCGUAUGGGCACUUAUAUCUCCAAAUUAGAUGGCUGCAUACGGUUUAUCUGAAGGAUGCUCACCCAUCACCCAGACCCAGAC